rnacentral:misc_RNA from 1 species
GGCUGACGGCAUUCGCUUCGACGCCGGCUGCCCAGGUCGCAGAAUCUUUCGUCCGCUACCUGGAAGCGCAGGUUUGCCACGAGCCCGAGCCGUUUGAAAAUUUUUCGAUUUAUACCCUCGAUCAUCUCGACUAAUGCGUGUAAAACGGUGCGACCGCUGCUUCGAAAUCUGGGUCCUAUGAUUAUACACAUCUGAAUAUUGAAAUCUGUUCAACGUCUCUGAAACUUCAAUUGCAAAAUUUUUAUAAAUAUCAAGACACGGUUGAUAUUUGUGUUGCAGCCAGGAUGGAUCUGGACGAUUACCGCAGACACGGCAAGGAAAUGGUCGACUACAUCGCCGACUACCUUCAGACCGUACGAUCUCGACGAGUCUAUCCCGCCGUGUCUCCCGGAUACCUUCGCAACAUGUUGCCUGCCUCGGCUCCCGUCGAAGGUGAACCCUUCGAGGACAUAAUUGGCGACGUGGAGACCUGCAUCAUGCCGGGCAUCACACACUGGCAAAGUCCGCACAUGCAUGCUUAUUUUCCCGCCCUUAAUUCGCCCGCAAGUCUACUCGCCGACAUGCUGGCUGACGCUAUAAACUGUUUGGGAUUCACUUGGGCUUCGAGUCCAGCUUGCACCGAGCUCGAAAUGAUCGUGAUGAAUUGGCUGGGAAAGAUGAUCGCGUUGCCUGAAGAAUUUCUCCAUUCUCCGGGGCGAUCUGGCGGCGGUGUGAUUCAAACUACGGCCAGUGAGGCAACCCUUGUUUGUUUAUUGGCAGCGAGGACCAGAGCGAUCAAAGAUAAUCAGAAGAUACAUCCGGAAGAGUCAGCUACCAACAUAAAUGCUAGACUCGUCGGAUAUUGUUCUGAUCAGGCACACUCAAGCGUCGAAAAAGCGGCACUCAUCGGAUUGGUCCAAAUGCGUUACGUUGAAUCCGACGAGAAUCUCAGCAUGAGAGGAGACAAAUUAGCCGACGCCCUGGAACGCGAUCGCAAAGCUGGGCUCGUACCAUUUUUCGUUUGCGCAACCUUGGGCACGACUGGAGCGUGUUCCUUUGACAGUUUGAAAGAAAUUGGUCCAAUCUGUGCUAAACACGCGCUUUGGUUACAUAUAGACGCUGCCUAUGCAGGAAGCGCCUUUGUUUGCCCGGAAUUUCGUUCUUGGCUCCAAGGAAUCGAAUACGCCGACUCCUUCGCCUUCAAUCCGAGUAAAUGGCUAAUGGUGCACUUCGAUUGCACCGCGAUGUGGGUGAGAAGUAGCCAAGCCUUGCAUCGGACAUUCAACGUGGAACCAUUGUAUUUGAAACACGAAAAUUCAGGUCUGGCUAUCGACUAUAUGCACUGGCAAAUUCCACUGUCGAAAAGGUUCCGCGCCCUCAAACUUUGGUUUGUAUUACGAAAUUUUGGAAUCACUGGAUUACAGAAGCAUAUACGAGAGGGCGUCAGAUUAGCUCAGAAAUUUGAAGCUCUGGUGCUGGGCGACGCUCGCUUCGAGAUUCCAGCUCCGAGACAUCUUGGAAUGGUUGUGUUUCGUCUACGGGGUGACAAUUCGCUGACCGAACGUUUGCUGAAGAGAAUGAACUCGAGAGGGCGAGUUCACUGCGUCCCUGCCGCUCUUCAUGGAAAAUAUGUGAUAAGAUUUACCGUGACGUCAACAAGAACCACCGGGGAUGAUAUCCUGAAAGACUGGACAGAAAUUCGAGGCACAGCCUCUGAAAUACUGGGAACGAUGAACGGAUCACCGGCAAGAGUAAAAGUAUCCCUAGCAGAAACACGUCAGAAAAAUGAAAAUUUUGGAUCGAGCCUUCUGUUGGCCAAUUCACCUAUGUCUCCAAAAAUUGUCAACGGCAGCUUCGCGGCUAUAUACGACACAGCCGACGUUUUCAACGAAUGCAUGAAAACUUUCGGACGUAAUCCAUCUGAAGCCAUGGACAGCCCGGCUAUGCGACGUCGCAUUCGGGGCAUUCUGAUGUCAGGAAAACAAUUCAGCUUAGAUUCUCGCAUGGAUUUAGUACAGAAGACGUCAUCGAAUAAACAGUUCCAACCAACAGGACAAGUUGCUAGAAGAAAAGCAUCUGUUUUAACAAAAUAAUGUGCUGAAUAGAAAAAUAAACAUUAUUGAAAUUAAAACGCAUGUGUAUGGCCAUUGCGUCUGUGAUCACACCUACACAUCCCGAUUGAACCUGUUAGAUCAAAUGAAAUAAAAGUUAAUUCUGUCUUUUACCGCUAUAUCUCAUGAAGGAAUCAAAUUUCAAUUUCAUAAAGGUGCCAGACCUCAACAAUUUCCCAACUAAAGGCUUCAGAACAAUGAGAAAACAGGAAAUGUAUCAACUUGUACAAAGGUUCUAUGAAUGUAACACGUUUGAUUUUCUUAUUUUGGCCAACUUGAAUUAUAAGGAAAAUCGAUAAGUCAGCAAGGAGGAGUUUGUA